rnacentral:rRNA from 1 species
UACGUAGGGCGCAAGCGUUAUCCGGAAUUAUUGGGCGUAAAGAGCUCGUAGGCGGUUUGUCGCGUCUGCCGUGAAAGUCCGGGGCUCAACUCCGGAUCUGCGGUGGGUACGGGCAGACUAGAGUGAUGUAGGGGAGACUGGAAUUCCUGGUGUAGCGGUGAAAUGCGCAGAUAUCAGGAGGAACACCGGUGGCGAAGGCGGCUUUCUGGGCCUUACCUGACGCUGAGGAGCGAAAGCUGGGGGAGCGAACAGG